rnacentral:rRNA from 1 species
GACGAACGCUGGCGGCGUGCCUAAUACAUGCAAGUAGAACGCUGAAGGAGGAGCUUGCUCUUCUGGAUGAGUUGCGAACGGGUGAGUAACGCGUAGGUAACCUGCCUGGUAGCGGGGGAUAACUAUUGGAAACGAUAGCUAAUACCGCAUAACAGUAGAUGUUGCAUGACAUUUACUUAAAAGGUGCAAUUGCAUCACUACCAGAUGGACCUGCGUUGUAUUAGCUAGUUGGUGGGGUAACGGCUCACCAAGGCGACGAUACAUAGCCGACCUGAGAGGGUGAUCGGCCACACUGGGACUGAGACACGGCCCAGACUCCUACGGGAGGCAGCAGUAGGGAAUCUUCGGCAAUGGACGGAAGUCUGACCGAGCAACGCCGCGUGAGUGAAGAAGGUUUUCGGAUCGUAAAGCUCUGUUGUAAGAGAAGAACGAGUGUGAGAGUGGAAAGUUCACACUGUGACGGUAUCUUACCAGAAAGGGGCGGCUAACUACGUG